rnacentral:rRNA from 1 species
UACGGAGGGUGCAAGCGUUAUCCGGAAUUACUGGGUUUAAAGGGUGCGUAGGCGGUUAAUUAAGUCAGAGGUGAAAGGUAAUUGCUUAACGAUUGAAUUGCGCCCAAUACUGCCGGACUUGAGGGAGGCAGAGGUAAGCGGAACUUGCGGUGGAGCGGUGAAAUGCAUUGAUAUCGCAGGGAACACCAGUGGCGAAGGCGCCUUACUGGGCCUUUUCUGACGCUGAGGCACGAAAGCUAGGGGAGCGAACAGG